GAUGAACGCUGGCGGCGUGCCUAAUACAUGCAAGUCGAGCGAACAGACGAGGAGCUUGCUCCUUCGACGUUAGCGGCGGACGGGGGAGUAACACGUAGGUAACCUACCUAUAAGACUGGGAUAACUUCGGGAAACCGGAGCUAAUACCGGAUAAUAUUUCGAACCGCAUGGUUCGAUAGUGAAAGAUGGCUUUGCUAUCACUUAUAGAUGGACCUGCGCCGUAUUAGCUAGUUGGUAAGGUAACGGCUUACCAAGGCAACGAUACGUAGCCGACCUGAGAGGGUGAUCGGCCACACUGGAACUGAGACACGGUCCAGACUCCUACGGGAGGCAGCAGUAGGGAAUCUUCCGCAAUGGGCGAAAGCCUGACGGAGCAACGCCGCGUGAGUGAUGAAGGUCUUCGGAUCGUAAAACUCUGUUAUUAGGGAAGAACAAACGUGUAAGUAACUGUGCACGUCUUGACGGUACCUAAUCAGAAAGCCACGGCUAACUACGUG
rnacentral:rRNA from 1 species